GUCCCGUUCGUCUAGAGGCCUAGGACAUCGCCCUCUCACGGCGGCAACACGGGUUCGAAUCCCGUACGGGACGCCA
rnacentral:tRNA from 2 species